rnacentral:rRNA from 1 species
GACGAACGCUGGCGGCGUGCUUAACACAUGCAAGUCGAACGGAAAGGCCCUGCUCUUGUGGGGUGCGCGAGUUGCGACCGGGUGAGUAACACGUGAGUAACCUGUCCCUCACUUUGGGAUAACCUCAUGAAACAUGGGCUAAUACCGGAUAAGAGCUCCUGCUGCAUGGUGGGCGUUGGAAAGAUUCGGCGGUUGGUGAUGUACUCGCGGCUUAUCAGCUUGUUGGUGGGGUAGUGGCUUACGAAGGCUUGGACGGGUAGCGGGCCUGAGAGGGUGACAGGACACAUUGGGAUUGAGCUACGGCACAGACUCGUACGGGAGGCAGCAGAGGGGAAGAGUGCACAAGGCGAGGAAGCCUGGUGCAGUAAAGCCGCGUGGGGGAAGAGGGGAAUCGGGUUGUAAACCGAUUUCGCCUGUGACGAAGCGUGAGUGACGGUAAUGGAUAAAGAAGCACCGGCUAACUACGUG